CAGGAAGGGCAGAUGCUUGCAGCCUUCUGAAGUGAGGUGAUAUUACUCUGUAUGGGCAGAUGCCUUCUGAUGUGGUGUGCUCUUGCUCUGUGUGGGUUAAAGCUUUCUGAUAUAGUGUGGGGACACUCUGUGUAUGAUGGCCCUCUCAACUGUAGCAUAUGCUGUGACAAUUUCCAUAAUGAGGAAAUUUUUAUUACUUAUAGAAGGUAGGAUUCAUUCAGAAUCAGUUUGCCAAAGAGGCAGAAGCCUUAGGAAGAUACAGUGUAUAAGGAAAUACUGAGAGAAUUUUACAGAAAAGAAUAAAUGCCCUAUAGUUACCUUAAACAGCUCAUACCUGCAGCUGUACGCAUGGUGUAGAAAUCCCAAUCAACCACAGGGAUAUCUGCUGACUUCUCAGCAUGCAUUUAGCCCUUGGCAGAUUGAAAGGUGUCUCUGUCAGGAAAUAUCAUCUGAGGGAACACAAGCUACUACACUGCACAAAAAAAAAAAAAGGUGUGGUGUAGGAGGAGAGAAAACAUCAGAAGCAUUGCAAAAAUACCUUUUUGUUUUGUGUUCCACAGCUUUGAAACUUUUCAACAGCUUUGAACCAUUAAAAAGUGUAACUUGCUGACAACUUUUUACAUGGAAUGUCAGCUUUGUGUGAUUUGAAACAGCUGAGAUAACUCCCAAAUGAGAGGAUUAUAAUACUGAAGGGAACAUAAGUAUGUAUUGAACCAGCAGCACCUCUCUGUUAAUGACUGGUGUAGAUCAAUUGAUGGAAUAGCCAGCCUUUUAUCUGUACUCUUCUUAAGAGUUUCUUUCUACUGGAGCUUCUUUUACUAAACUAAAUAAAAAAUGUUUCCUUGGAACUGUUAUCAAAUUUAUUUUGACCCAUAUGCUACUGCAAAACCAUUAAACCAAUACAUGUUUUUUAAACAAAUAUAGAGAAAAUGAUAGAAUAGUAGAGAUGUGAGCUGAGAAUGGUUUUUAAAGUUUGCCAUGAGGUGUCAGCAGCUCUUUAAUUUUCAGUAGCCUUUUCUGACAUAAGGAUCUCACAGCAAUUUACAGAGCUACUUGCUCAAACUCAGUGUUGGAAUAUUUUGUCAACAGUGUUGGAAUAUUUUCCUCAAAUAAAGAUUUAUAUUUUAGAGGUCCUUAAAUAUUUCCAUGUGGCUAACAGAGAUGAAUUUGUCUGUUUGUUAUAAAUACAGAUAUACCUACAAAUGAGUUAGUAAAUAAAUGCAAAACAAAUUUGUAAUGUUUUUCUUCUAAUUAGCUCAGUUAAUUUACCUGCUGUUCAUUAUGUUUACUACCUUCAUUAAGUUAAGAAGUUCACAAUUUCCUUUCUGUAAAAAAUUUAAAUAUUAAGAAAUUCAGUACUAUUAUACAUCAAGGAUGUCUUGCAGCUAGCAUGUGUUAUAAACUUUAGAAACUACUAUGAAUUUUCAAGUUAGCAUGUUAAAUUUCAUUGCAAAUACUGUAUCUUCAGGUUUCCCCAGGUGGCAAUGUGUAUUAAGAAAUGAAUGUCUAUGUCUGGAAAUGCUGUUCUUGCCACUUUUAUUGUUGGAAGUUAUUUAGCUGUUGAAUGUAAUACCAGUGUUGGGUUUAGGAAUGCCUUCAGAGGGAAAGUAGAACUGGAGGAAAACCAUGACAACUGUGUUUCUUAGUAUAGUGGGCUCCAGGUAAAACUAAAACCAGGCUUAAGAGAUUAAAUCAAAGCCAAUAUUCAGAUAAGCUAUCCUAUUGUUAUCCUAUAUAACCUAUUGUUAUAUUCUGUCUGUAUCUCGAAUACAUUGAAAGGUAAGCAGACUCAGAAAACUGGUCUUGAAAAGCUGUAUCCUAAAAUGAAUACUUGCUGGAAAAUGGAAUACAUUCCUGCACCAAACCCCUGGAAAAUUGUAAGAAUUGACCUUAAGUACUAUUGUUUUGCUUUCAGAUGCUAGGACUUAUCCUUCCUUCUGAUCCUGAAAGUGCCUCUUACAUUUUGUAAUAAACCAGUAUUAAUCAUACAGUAGUGCAGUAUUCCGCUGAUACAGUAUUCCACUGAUCUAGCAAAAAAAACCAAUCCAUUAUGAUCUACAAACCUGAACUCUGACAUUCAAAGCAACCUUCAGUGUAGGAGGACUGACAGGUCAUAGCACUCUGUCUGUGCUCAAACCUGAAGAUUUCACCACAAAGGUUUCAGAGAAACCAGAGUUUAGCCUGAUGUGAGUGCUUCUUUCCCCUUAAUGGUGGGUCAUCACACCUGAUCACCACAUUUUUAUUCUGAAUGAUAUUUCAUGAGAGUCAAGACAUGCAAUGUGGGCAGAAAAACUGCAGUAUGUUUAAUCAUGUUUCUUUCUCUUGAGCACAUGAGACAAAGGAAGGUGUGAGGAGGAUAUGGCCUGAGCUGGCUAGUCUGUAUUACUAUCUAGCAUGUGUGGAAAGUGGUUUAAGAUCAAUAGGUCACACUUCACUUUGAAGUUCAGAUACUUCCACGUCUUUUUGAAAACAUGAUCCUGAAAUGUGCUGAGCACCCUGGCUGAAGGCCAGGAAAGCACAUAAACACAUGCUUAACUCUAAUCAUAGGACUAGGCCCCUUGUGUUAAAGUUGACAUGUGCUGAA